rnacentral:rRNA from 1 species
UGCUCUCCCAUUUAGCCAUGCUAGUCGCACGAGUUCAGACUCGUGGCGAAUAGCUCAGUAACACGUGGCCAAACUACCCUUCGGAGCACAAUACCCUCGGGAAACUGAGGCUAAUAGUGCAUACCACAAUCCACCUGGAAUGAGGAUUGUGCUAAACGCUCCGGCGCCGAAGGAUGUGGCUGCGGCCGAUUAGGUAGACGGUGGGGUAACGGCCCACCGUGCCAAUAAUCGGUACGGGUCAUGAGAGUGAGAACCCGGAGACGGAAUCUGAGACAAGAUUCCGGGCCCUACGGGGCGCAGCAGGCGCGAAACCUUUACACUGCACGCCAGUGCGAUAAGGGAAUCCCAAGUGCGCAGGCAUAGAGCCUGCGCUUUUGUUCACCGUAGGGAGGUGAACGAAUAAGGGCUGGGCAAGACCGGUGCCAGCCGCCGCGGUAAUACCGGCAGCCCGAGUGAUGGCCGAUCUUAUUGGGCCUAAAGCGUCCGUAGCUGGCCGCGCAAGUCUAUCGGAAAAUCCACCCGCUCAACGGGUGGGCGUCCGGUAGAAACUGCGUGGCUUGGGACCGGAAGGCGCGACGGGUACGUCCCGGGUAGGAGUGAAAUCCCGUAAUCCUGGACGGACCGCCGAUGGCGAAAGCACGUCGCGAGGACGGAUNCCACAGUUGAGGGACGAAAGCCAGGGUCUCGAACCGGAUUAAGAUACCCGGGUAGUCCUGGGCGUAAACAAUGUCUGUUAGU